AGAAAAGUAGGAUCUUGUUGCCUCUCAUAAGCAUGUCUCUCGUACAUGUCAGGAAAAUUACAUGCAUUGUUAUUGGGUGAACCUCUGUAGUUAUCUGUGACUGAAGGUUCAGUAAUCUAUAACCAGGUU